GACGAACGCUGGCGGCGUGCUUAACACAUGCAAGUCGAACGCUGAAGCUCAGCUUUUGUUGGGUGGAUGAGUGGCGAACGGGUGAGUAACACGUGAGUAACCUGCCCCCUUCUUUGGGAUAACGCCCGGAAACGGGUGCUAAUACUGGAUAUUCACUGGUCUUCGCAUGGGGGUUGGUGGAAAGGGUUUUUCUGGUGGGGGAUGAGCUCGCGGCCUAUCAGCUUGUUGGUGGGGUGAUGGCCUACCAAGGCUUUGACGGGUAGCCGGCCUGAGAGGGUGACCGGUCACAUUGGGACUGAGAUACGGCCCAGACUCCUACGGGAGGCAGCAGUGGGGAAUAUUGCACAAUGGGCGCAAGCCUGAUGCAGCGACGCCGCGUGAGGGAUGGAGGCCUUCGGGUUGUGAACCUCUUUCGCUCAUGGUCAAGCCGCAACAAUGGUUGUGGUGAGGGUAGUGGGUAAAGAAGCGCCGGCUAACUACGUG
rnacentral:rRNA from 1 species